UGCCUUGGCCUCUCUGCUGCUUUGACUUUGGUUUGCCGGUCCAUGGCCACAUCCGGUCUGGCAGCUGACUGUGUUGCGGACCGGCAGCUGACCUGCCAUGGCCCAUGGAUUGAGA